CCUACGGGGGGCUGCAGUGGGGAAUAUUGGACAAUGGGCGAAAGCCUGAUCCAGCCAUGCCGCGUGUGUGAAGAAGGCCUUCGGGUUGUAAAGCACUUUCAGUGGGGAAGAAAGCCUUGGGGCUAAUACCCUCGAGGAAGGACAUCACCCACAGAAGAAGCACCGGCUAACUCCGUGCCAGCAGCCGCGGUAAUACGGAGGGUGCGAGCGUUAAUCGGAAUUACUGGGCGUAAAGCGCGCGUAGGCGGUCUGAUAAGCCGGUUGUGAAAGCCCCGGGCUCAACCUGGGAACGGCAUCCGGAACUGUCAGGCUAGAGUGCAGGAGAGGAAGGUAGAAUUCCCGGUGUAGCGGUGAAAUGCGUAGAGAUCGGGAGGAAUACCAGUGGCGAAGGCGGCCUUCUGGACUGACACUGACGCUGAGGUGCGAAAGCGUGGUAGCAAACAGGAUUAGAUACCCGGGUAGUC
rnacentral:rRNA from 1 species